UACGGAGGGUGCAAGCGUUAAUCGGAAUUACUGGGCGUAAAGCGCGCGUAGGCGGUUUUUUAAGUCGGAUGUGAAAGCCCCGGGCUCAACCUGGGAACUGCAUCCGAUACUGGAAGACUAGAAUGCGGGAGAGGGAGGUGGAAUUCCAUGUGUAGCAGUGAAAUGCGUAGAUAUAUGGAGGAAUACCAGUGGCGAAGGCGGCCUCCUGGCUCGACAUUGACGCUGAGGUGCGAAAGCGUGGGGAGCAAACGGG
rnacentral:rRNA from 1 species